rnacentral:rRNA from 1 species
GUGGGGGAUGGGCUCGCGGCCUAUCAGCUUGUUGGUGGGGUGAUGGCCUACCAAGGCUUUGACGGGUAGCCGGCCUGAGAGGGCGACCGGCCACACUGGGACUGAGACACGGCCCAGACUCCUACGGGAGGCAGCAGUGGGGAAUAUUGCACAAUGGGGGAAACCCUGAUGCAGCGACGCCGCGUGGGGGAUGAAGGCCUUCGGGUUGUAAACCCCUUUCAGUAGGGAACAAGGCCAUGAUUAUUGUUGUGGUUGAGGGUACUUGCAGAAGAAGCGCCGGCUAACUACGUGCCAGCAGCCGCGGUAAUACGUAGGGCGCAAGCGUUGUCCGGAAUUAUUGGGCGUAAAGA